rnacentral:rRNA from 1 species
GAUGAACGCUGGCGGCGUGCCUAAUACAUGCAAGUCGAGCGAACAGAUGAGAAGCUUGCUUCUCUGAUGUUAGCGGCGGACGGGUGAGUAACACGUGGGUAACCUACCUAUAAGACUGGGAUAACUCCGGGAAACCGGGGCUAAUACCGGAUAAUAUUUUGAACCGCAUGGUUCAAUAGUGAAAGACGGUUUCGGCUGUCACUUAUAGAUGGACCCGCGCCGUAUUAGCUAGUUGGUAAGGUAACGGCUUACCAAGGCGACGAUACGUAGCCGACCUGAGAGGGUGAUCGGCCACACUGGAACUGAGACACGGUCCAGACUCCUACGGGAGGCAGCAGUAGGGAAUCUUCCGCAAUGGGCGAAAGCCUGACGGAGCAACGCCGCGUGAGUGGUGAAGGUCUUCGGAUCGUAAAACUCUGUUGUUAGGGAAGAACAAAUUUGUUAGUAACUGAACAAGUCUUGACGGUACCUAACCAGAAAGCCACGGCUAACUACGUGCCAGCAGCCGCGGUAAUACGUAGGUGGCAAGCGUUAUCCGGAAUUAUUGGGCGUAAAGCGCGCGUAGGCGGUUUCUUAAGUCUGAUGUGAAAGCCCACGGCUCAACCGUGGAGGGUCAUUGGAAACUGGGAAACUUGAGUGCAGAAGAGGAGAGUGGAAUUCCAUGUGUAGCGGUGAAAUGCGCAGAGAUAUGGAGGAACACCAGUGGCGGAGGCGGCUCUCUGGUCUGUAACUGACGCUGAUGUGCGAAAGCGUGGGGAUCAAACAGGAUUAGAUACCCUGGUAGUCCACGCCGUAAACGAUGAGUGCUAAGUGUUAGGGGGUUUCCGCCCCUUAGUGCUGCAGCUAACGCAUUAAGCACUCCGCCUGGGGAGUACGACCGCAAGGUUGAAACUCAAAGGAAUUGACGGGGACCCGCGCAAGCUGUGGAGCAUGUGGUUUAAUUCGAAGCAACGCGAAGAACCUUACCAAAUCUUGACAUCCUUUGACCGCUCUAGAGAUAGAGUCUUCCCCUUCGGGGGACAAAGUGACAGGUGGUGCAUGGUUGUCGUCAGCUCGUGUCGUGAGAUGUUGGGUUAAGUCCCGCAACGAGCGCAACCCUUAAGCUUAGUUGCCAUCAUUAAGUUGGGCACUCUAGGUUGACUGCCGGUGACAAACCGGAGGAAGGUGGGGAUGACGUCAAAUCAUCAUGCCCCUUAUGAUUUGGGCUACACACGUGCUACAAUGGAUAAUACAAAGGGCAGCGAAUCCGCGAGGCCAAGCAAAUCCCAUAAAAUUAUUCUCAGUUCGGAUUGUAGUCUGCAACUCGACUACAUGAAGCUGGAAUCGCUAGUAAUCGUAGAUCAGCAUGCUACGGUGAAUACGUUCCCGGGUCU